UGUGGGAAUUGCUUUCUUAGAUGACAAAUGU
rnacentral:piRNA from 1 species